rnacentral:misc_RNA from 1 species
GAGAGCCGGAUGCGCUGAGAGGUGCAAGUCCGGUUGUGCGUCCAGCUAAGGCUGGC